GAACGCCUUAAUGCUACG
rnacentral:misc_RNA from 1 species